GCUGGCACAAUGAUGACUUCAGUUUUUGCCGUUUACCCAGCUGAGGGCUUCUUUGAAGAAGUAAUCUAAACACUGAGAUGCCAGC
ensembl:snoRNA Snord87 small nucleolar RNA, C/D box 87